rnacentral:rRNA from 1 species
GACGAACGCUGGCGGCGUGCUUAACACAUGCAAGUCGAACGGUAAGGCCCUUCGGGGUACACGAGUGGCGAACGGGUGAGUAACACGUGGGUGAUCUGCCCUGCACUUCGGGAUAAGCCUGGGAAACUGGGUCUAAUACCGGAUAGGACUCCGGACUGCAUGGUCUGGGGUGGAAAGCUUUUGCGGUGUGGGAUGGGCCCGCGGCCUAUCAGCUUGUUGGUGGGGUGAUGGCCUACCAAGGCGACGACGGGUAGCCGGCCUGAGAGGGUGACCGGCCACACUGGGACUGAGAUACGGCCCAGACUCCUACGGGAGGCAGCAGUGGGGAAUAUUGCACAAUGGGCGCAAGCCUGAUGCAGCGACGCCGCGUGAGGGAUAACGGCCUUCGGGUUGUAAACCUCUUUUAGUAGGGAAGAAGCGAAAGUGACGGUACCUGCAGAAAAAGCACCGGCUAACUACGUGCCAGCCGCCGCAGUAA